GUUUGGCUUUGGUUGCAUAAUGUAACAGAGAUUAGGUGGUCCACAAGGGAUGAAUAUGGAGUGGCAAGUUGCACCUGCAAGCCCAAGUUCCUACAUUGUGAAGAGGAUAUUGCGCUUGGAUAUUCCAGUAGAUAGCUUUCCAAAUGUAAGCCACCCAUAUAACUUGACAGUGCGUUAAAGGACGUUGCUAUCUUAAAUUUGAAGUUGUUGGUUUAAUGGUUAACAAAAACAUAUUAUUGGAGGUGUUUGCACGCACAAACACACACACAAAGUUAUUAUUUAAUAACUUUAUCUUGCUUUUACGCUAUGAAGUAUCUUUUUUUUUUCUCAAAUACGUAUUGCAACAAAUCAUGAAACUGAUUUCUCCUUCCCUCAGUCGACAAUACGAUGAGUCACAAGACUACUACAAGAGGGAACAGUUGAGAGAACUAGCCAUGCUGAAAUCCAAUUUGCGAGAAGAGAGCCCUCAACCAUAUGGUAGUGUCUCUCCUUUCACUUCAAGCGGGAUGAAGCGUGCCAAAACUGGUCUGUAAUGGUUCACUUAUCUCCUCUUCUAUUGGUUCGUCCUCCCGUGCGACUCUUGAGCUUGCUUGCCAGCGUAUGCUUCUCGGUGUAAUUCAAUUCUGUAUGUAGACUGUAAGGGACGAAGCGUUGUGGACCUGUUUGGUGAGCGUCAAUGCAGGGGUUUUCUUCCAUGACAUUAAGAUAUACGGAUGAACGGAGAUAUUCUUUUGUUAAAGCUUUCAUGUUUGUAGUCGAUUGUGAUUGAUUGUAGAAGUAGAACAAUUAUGUCAUAUAAGUUAUUCUUUGUUGUGCUGAACAUGUAUUUGUUAUUAACUCGACGCUGUCUAAACUUGAAAGUGAAAUAUGCAUCGAUUGUUUAUUUUACUUUUAAGUGGGAUGCUGUAAGCUCAA